rnacentral:rRNA from 1 species
AGUGAACGCUGGCGGUAGGCCUAACACAUGCAAGUCGAACGGCAGCACAGUAAGAGCUUGCUCUUACGGGUGGCGAGUGGCGGACGGGUGAGGAAUACAUCGGAAUCUACUUUUUCGUGGGGGAUAACGUAGGGAAACUUACGCUAAUACCGCAUACGACCUACGGGUGAAAGCAGGGGAUCUUCGGACCUUGCGCGAUUGAAUGAGCCGAUGUCGGAGUAGCUAGUUGGCGGGGUAAAGGCCCACCAAGGCGACGAUCCGUAGCUGGUCUGAGAGGAUGAUCAGCCACACUGGAACUGAGACACGGUCCAGACCCCUACGGGAGGCAGCAGUGGGGAAUAUUGGACAAUGGGCGCAAGCCUGAUCCAGCCAUACCGCGUGGGUGAAGAAGGCCUUCGGGUUGUAAAGCCCUUUUGUUGGGAAAGAAAAGCAGCAGGUUAAUACCCCGCUGUUCUGACGGUACCCAAAGAAUAAGCACCGGCUAACUUCGUG